GUAACAGGAAGCAGCUUGCUGCUUUGCUGACGAGUGGCGGACGGGUGAGUAAUGUCUGGGAAACUGCCUGAUGGAGGGGGAUAACUACUGGAAACGGUAGCUAAUACCGCAUAACGUCGCAAGACCAAAGAGGGGGACCUUCGGGCCUCUUGCCAUCGGAUGUGCCCAGAUGGGAUUAGCUAGUAGGUGGGGUAACGGCUCACCUAGGCGACGAUCCCUAGCUGGUCUGAGAGGAUGACCAGCCACACUGGAACUGAGACACGGUCCAGACUCCUACGGGAGGCAGCAGUGGGGAAUAUUGCACAAUGGGCGCAAGCCUGAUGCAGCCAUGCCGCGUGUAUGAAGAAGGCCUUCGGGUUGUAAAGUACUUUCAGCGGGGAGGAAGGCGAUAAGGUUAAUAACCUUGUCGAUUGACGUUACCCGCAGAAGAAGCACCGGCUAACUCCGUGCCAGCAGCCGCGGUAAUACGGAGGGUGCAAGCGUUAAUCGGAAUUACUGGGCGUAAAGCGCACGCAGGCGGUCUGUCAAGUCGGAUGUGAAAUCCCCGGGCUCAACCUGGGAACUGCAUUCGAAACUGGCAGGCUAGAGUCUUGUAGAGGGGGGUAGAAUUCCAGGUGUAGCGGUGAAAUGCGUAGAGAUCUGGAGGAAUACCGGUGGCGAAGGCGGCCCCCUGGACAAAGACUGACGCUCAGGUGCGAAAGCGUGGGGGAGCAAACAGGAUUAGAUACCCUGGUAGUCCACGCCGUAAACGAUGUCGACUUGGAGGUUGUGCCCUUGAGGCGUGGCUUCCGGAGCUAACGCGUUAAGUCGACCGCCUGGGGAGUACGGCCGCAAGGUUAAAACUCAAAUGAAUUGACGGGGGCCCGCACAAGCGGUGGAGCAUGUGGUUUAAUUCGAUGCAACGCGAAGAACCUUACCUACUCUUGACAUCCAGAGAACUUAGCAGAGAUGGUUUGGUGCCUUCGGGAACUCUGAGACAGGUGCUGCAUGGCUGUCGUCAGCUCGUGUUGUGAAAUGUUGGGUUAAGUCCCGCAACGAGCGCAACCCUUAUCCUUUGUUGCCAGCGGUUCGGCCGGGAACUCAAAGGAGACUGCCAGUGAUAAACUGGAGGAAGGUGGGGAUGACGUCAAGUCAUCAUGGCCCUUACGAGUAGGGCUACACACGUGCUACAAUGGCGCAUACAAAGAGAAGCGACCUCGCGAGAGCAAGCGGACCUCAUAAAGUGCGUCGUAGUCCGGAUUGGAGUCUGCAACUCGACUCCAUGAAGUCGGAAUCGCUAGUAAUCGUGGAUCAGAAUGCCACGGUGAAUACGUUCCCGGGCCUUGUACACACCGCCCGUCACACCAUGGGAGUGGGUUGCAAAAGAAGUAGGUAGCUUAACCUUCGGGAGGGCGCUAC
rnacentral:rRNA from 1 species